rnacentral:tRNA from 1 species
GGUUGUAGCUCAGUGGUAGAGUGCUUGCCCGUCAUGUGUAAGGCACUGGGUUCAAUCCUCAGUACCA